UAUCCACCCAAUCCACACAGUACAGUAGAGAAACCACAGUGUGAACUAAAAGGACAGCUUUACAGUUCAUGUCGGCGACCACAAAGAGGGCAAUAACGAAGGAAGCGGCAGCGACAGACCACCGCAGGAAGAAACGUGAUGAUGACACUGAAACAUUUGACAUGCCACUGAGACUGAUCAGCAAACGGUGCAGCUUUAACUUCAGUAGAGGGCAUUAGCCUCACUGCGCACUCACCGGGGGUGAAUAAGAGUUGGUCGUUACACUCGUCCACGUCCGUACAGGAGCAGAUGUGAGCCAUCCCGCUCGUGGUGUUCUUCUCCUUCAUCACGCAGGUGGAGCUGUUGUAGUCGUCCAGCAUCACACCGUAGAGCGACGUGGACGGGUCGUGGCACAGGGUUUCGAUGGAGAAGUCGGUCUCGUUCUUUCUCCUGAGAGACGGGCAGAGGUGAGACUGUUAGGCCCAUUAAGACUGAUCUGGUUACAUCCCGUCUCAGUUCUGCUCUCGGGUACCUACCAGAUGGAGACACAGACCUCGUUGCUGUCCAUACAAAUGGACGUAAUGGUGCAGUUGGACAUGCAGGUCCCCGUGCCGCUGCAGGAGGAAAGCUUCACGUCGCAGAACAUACAGAGCUGACUCAUCUGGAAAACUGGAGGUGGUCUGGAUGCACCGAUCGGAUUUUUCAGUCCCGAGACCGAUACCUGGGCUUUGGGGCCGAUACCGGCGCACUGAGAUCAUCCUUUUCGUGUAGAGCAACAUCAGGUUUGACUCAAACAUCGCUUUCAAGCGACACGUAAGAAAUAAAUGCAUAGAUAGAAAUCUAUUGGUGCAUCCUGACUGCAAACUAGGUACUGUACACAACUGCAGGAACCACAGGAAAGCAUCAGCUGCUGAAUGCCACAAGGCCAUUAAAACACGGUCGACGCAGGCAUCCCCAGAGAGGGAAACACCUCCACCGGGCUGGAUGGGGCCUGAGGAAACCAUUGAGCCAUACAGGAAUAGGCCAGGCCACACUGAACCACAAACACAGGCAACCACAGCUGAAUCAAUAGGCAGCCUGUGCCAAGCUACAGCAAAUUCUUACAUCAAAACCACUUUGGAUACAUAAACCCCAAAACCUCAUGGAAUAUUAAAAGAAUGCCUUGAAAACACUGUGCACAUGGAUUUCCUGAAAGACGCAAUAAAACUUUUUUUUAAUAUGCAUUCACGCAUCAAAGAAAAGAGUUUUUUCUGAUCUGUCCACUGUAGAUUUUCAGGAUGAGCAGACAGACCCGUCUCCUGCAGAAAAAAUUACUAACACGGCUAAUCAUAAACUUAUGGCAACCCCCUUUUUUUAUUUGCUCUUUUCAUGUUUGACGGGCUAGAAUUUUGCAUUUGUGAUCCAUAAUUCUCCCAGAGAUACAUUAACGUAGUUUGAUACGGUCACCCUGGGCUGGUUGGUAGCUGUAAUCAGCACAAUCUCACCCGUCAUUCUACUACCUGUUCAGACCUGCUCGUCUGACUCCAAGCCCCCCUGACAGAUGGUCUCGGUAGGCAGGGCUGUGUUGGAAAUACAGGUAAAACUGGAGGUUUUAGAGCCUAAACAUGCAGAAAAGAAGGUCUCUUCGUGUGGCUUUUGAGUUCAAGUAAGAGUGGGUUGGAAGCGGUGUAUAGUACUGAGGUUUUGUGGUACAACCUUCCGGCUCUGCACCACACAUCAGCUUUUCCAACACUGUUUGCAGCUGUUCCCCCAGCGGCUUUAGCUCGAUGCAAAUUAUUGCAUCGAGCUAAAGCCGCGAGUUAUUCUUUUAUUUGGGUCUUUCAGGAAAAAAAAGUGUGCUUUCCGGUCCUGAUUUUUCUAAAAUAAUUGAGAUAGCUAAUUCAACGGCAGCCCCUCACUCGUCCAGAAUCCAAGACGCAGUCAACUCAACUGCCGCAGAGCAGUCCUUGUAUCGCUAAAUCAUUUGACACGUCUGCGAUGUCUGCAGAGCAGAGCUGUGAAACCCGACCAGAGGCGUGACUCCACGAGUUCUCAUUGGCCUCCCUUGUGACCUCAAACUCCACGCACUCUCCUUUGAGGCUUCACUGCUACGGUUGUACGUCUUCGUGGUGGAUGUGUGCACGCUGGUGUGCAUUAAGCACAGUUAAUAUACUUUGGAGACGCAUUCCGUCACACGGUAAGAGGGUAGUUUGGGGACAGGCCCGAGAGCGUGAAAUAGCAGGGCGCUCACACCCACGCACAACCUCAGAGGCAAAUAAAACCUGCUGAUUUAGUGCAGCAAAGGGCCACAGAGAAGGAAUAACUGAAUGAGUAAGGCGGGGUAGAGUUGCACCGGGCAGCCGGUGAGCUCAGCAAGUCUUUUAUGGUGUUGAUUAAUCUUGAUUGCACUGUUGUGUAAUGCUUUUUGAUAGUUGGUUGUUUUUUGCUGGUAAAGGGUUAACUUUGAUUAACUGUUGUCA